GAUUUGCGUAAGAAGAAGACUUCAACCUUACAGGCGGGCAUUCGUUCUCUAGCAAACCCACCUUUCACAUUCACUCCGUUUCAACUGUGACUUCAUAGCUCGAGUCUGCUCGAAGCGCGUCAAGUAAUGGAAGUAUUGAAAAGUGCUAUACUGCAGCCAGGGUCAGUGGAGAAUUUCGCCCUCCAGACAGUUCAAGAAGUGAUAAAGCCUCAGAGACCAACGAAAUUAGCGCAAGAUGAGAACCAAUUGUUGGAGAAUAUGCUUCGUACAUUGCUUCAGGAGUUGGUGUCAGCUGCGGUGCAGUCAGGGGAGCAGAUAAUGCAGUAUGGGCAAUCAAUCGAUGAUGUGGAGAAUGCCCAAGGCCAAAUUCCUCGUCUUCUAGACUUUGUAUUGUAUCUUUGCGAGAAAGAACAUGUUGAAGGUGGUAUGAUAUUCCAACUACUCGAGGACUUGACUGAAAUGUCUACAAUGAGAAAUUGCAAGGAUAUUUUUGGCUACAUAGAGAGUAAACAAGACGUAUUAGGGAAGCAAGAGCUGUUUGCUCGUGGAAAACUAGUGAUGUUGAGAACAUGCAAUCAACUUCUUCGGCGCCUGUCAAAGGCAAAUGAUGUAGUAUUUUGUGGACGAAUUCUCAUGUUCCUGGCUCAUUUUUUCCCAUUGUCUGAACGUUCAGCUGUUAAUAUAAAAGGAGUUUUUAACACGUCAAAUGAGACAAAAUACGAGAAGGAGCCACCAGAUGGCAUUGCGGUUGACUUCAACUUUUAUCAGACCUUUUGGAGUUUGCAAGAAUAUUUUUGUAACCCCGCUUCUCUCCCGCUUGCUCCUAACAAGUGGCAAAAAUUUACAUCCAGUUUGAUGGUUGUGUUGAAUACAUUUGAAGCUCAGCCUUUGAGUGAUGAAGAGGGAAACACUAAUAAUUUGGAGGAAGAGGCAGCAACUUUUAAUAUUAAAUAUCUUACUAGUAGCAAACUAAUGGGAUUAGAGUUAAAAGAUCCAAGUUUCCGACGUCAUGUUCUUGUGCAAUGCCUUAUUUUAUUUGACUAUUUGAAGUCUCCUGGAAAACAUGACAAAGAUGUGGCAUCUGAUAGCAUGAAGGAAGAAAUAAAAUCUUGCGAGGAGCGUGUUAAGAAAUUACUUGAAGUAACUCCUCCCAAAGGGAAAGAUUUUCUUCGUAGUAUUGAGCAUAUAUUAGAGCGUGAAAAGAAUUGGGUUUGGUGGAAACGUGAUGGUUGCCCACCAUUUGAAAAGCAACCUACAGAGAAGAAAGCUGUCCAAGAGGGACCUAAAAAACGUAGGCCAAGGUGGAGACUGGGAAAUAGGGAACUCUCUCAGUUGUGGAAAUGGGCUGAUCAAAACCCGAACGCUUUGACUGAUCCUCAACGUGUUCUAACUCCGGCAAGCACAGAGUAUUGGAAACCACUGGCUGAAGAUAUGGACCCAGCAGCUGGAAUAGAGGCUGAGUACCACCACAAAAAUAAUCGGGUUUACUGCUGGAAAGGUCUUCGAUUGGCUGCUCGUCAAGACUUGGAAGGGUUUUCUAGAUUUACUGAUCAUGGUAUUGAAGGGGUUGUUCCUCUAGAGCUUUUGUCACCUGAUGUUCGAACCAAGUACCAUAAUAAACCGAGCGACAAAUCUAAACGUGCCAAAAAAGAAGAGACGAUGAAUGCUUCACAGCAAGCUGAAGAAAAUCAGAUUGCAACCCCUGCUAGUGAAAUUGAUGGUGAGGCGAUUAGAACCGAUCUUGAAGCCGCAGCAGCACCAAUGGACACUGAUGCCACAACUGCUAUUGGCAAUAUAUCCCAAGGUGGAACUCCAACACCAGAAGAAAAUCAAAAGCAAAGCCCCGACACAGAUGUCGGUCAAGAGUCUGCCCAGUUAGAAGCUGAUGCUGAAGUAGAUGUUGGGUUGGAUGGAGAGACAGACCCAGAAGCUGAGGUAGAGUUAGAUACUGCAGGUUGAGAUACAUAAAGUGAUUCAUCCAACUGUCAAUCUUGAAUGUAGAUCCAUUUCUUCUGUAGUUUUCUAUUGCCGUCGCCAAGUAGUCUUGUAUCAAUCAUUUUGAUUCAUGAUUUAGAUGAGCAUCUUCCAUGUCUUAUUAAAUCGCUAAACAAUUGAGAAUCGCAUGAUUUCAAAUACUCUUCGGCCGGUUUUUACUUUGUGGGCUAAAUGGAUCUGGUUGCUCUGCUGGAAUAAGAAACUGCUCAGGUUGCUUUCA